GAUGAAGAACGCAGCGAAAUGCGAUAAGUAGUGUGAAUUGCAGAAUUCAGUGAAUCAUCGAAUCUUUGAACGCACAUUGCGCCCCUUGGUAUCCCGAGGGGCAUGCCUGUUCGAGCGUCAUUUCACCACUCAAGCCUGGCUUGGUGUUGGGCGACGUCCCCUUUGGGGACGCGCCUCGAAACGCUCGGCGGCGUGGCACCGGCUUUAAGCGUAGCAGAAUCUUUCGCUUUGGAAGUCGGGGCCCCGUCUGCCGGAAGACCUACUCGCAAGGUUGACCUCGGAUCAGGCAGGGAUACCCGCUGAACUUAAGCAUAUCAAUAAGCGGAGA
rnacentral:misc_RNA from 1 species